rnacentral:tRNA from 1 species
GGGGGUAUAAGCUCAAUGGUAAACUGCGGCUCUCCAAAAGCUGACUUCCGGGUUCGAGUCCUGGUACCCCCG